CCCGACAUUUCAGAUAAAAGAUUGAAGCUAUAACAUUGAAUCUUACUUCCUAGGCGGUGUAGUGGAACAGGUUGAAGCUACAACAGCGAAUCUUGCUUCCCCGACAUUGCAGUUAAAAAGAUUGAAUCUACAACAACGAAUCUUACUUCACAGGCGGUGUAGUGGAACAAAUUGAAGCUACAAUGGUGAAUCUUGCUUCCCCGACAUUGCAGUUAAAAAGAUUGAAGCUACA
rnacentral:lncRNA from 1 species